UUGACCUCGAUCAGUAGAUACCCACUCAACUUAAGCAUAUCAAAA
rnacentral:rRNA from 1 species